CUGCCCUCGGGCCUGGCUCGCCUGCGGACGGGCGGCUGCGGGCCCCUGCCGCCGAGCGGAGACCGUCCGCUUCCCCCGGCCUCUCUCCGCGAGCCCUACCGCGCCGCCCGCUCCUCUCGCGGGUCGGCCUCCCCUCCUGAGCUGGCUUCGGGGCGCCGAGGCUGACGUCCAGGGCGGAGACUGGGGAAACCUGCGGAGGGCUCAUCCCGCCAGCGCCGAGGCUGAAGGAGAGCAUUUCUGGGGGAGGCUUUAAAAAGGGGUUGUGGACCAGGGUUAGAGUUGGUUCGCUGUGGCUUUUCAGGAAACCCUUGCGCGUUAUUUGAGGAACAGCAACUCUGGCUCCAGUUAAGAUCUGUUUUCCAGUUAGCCUGGGGUUUCAGUUACCAAUGCCAAAGGCACUCAGGAAGCAGAUCAACCUGAUUUAUGACCAGAAGGUCAAUAGUAGCCUAAGGCUGCCUCACAAUGCCUGUGUCAGUCGCUUCUCUUCAUCUCAUGCUUCUCUUCAUCUCAUCGCAUAGGCAAUUUCUCAUCUCACAUCAUCGCAGGAAGGGCCAAUCCUGCCUGGGUAGAGCCUCUGACCUACCUACACAAGGGGGCCAGGUGAAGGAAGAGACUCCAGCCUCUUGGCAGCCCUUUCCUGGAAUUUCACCUCUGCCACACAGAGCUUGAAGAUGCCCUUAGGACAAUUUAGACUGAAAGAUUGUUUCUGAAGAAAUAAUUUUCACCAGUCAUGGCUGUUUCACUGGAGAGAGGAUCCGCAGAGCUCCUCACACUACCAUUCCAGGAAUGAUCCACCCUCUCCUCCCCUCUUAA